rnacentral:rRNA from 1 species
AGAGUUUGAUCCUGGCUCAGAUUGAACGCUGGCGGCAUGCUUUACACAUGCAAGUCGGACGGCAGCACAGAGAAGCUUGCUUCUUGGGUGGCGAGUGGCGAACGGGUGAGUAAUAUAUCGGAACGUACCGAGUAAUGGGGGAUUAACUAAUCGAAAGAUUAGCUAAUACCGCAUAUUCUCUGAGGAGGAAAGCAGGGGACCUUCGGGCCUUGCGUUAUUCGAGCGGCCGAUAUCUGAUUAGCUAGUUGGUGGGGUAAAGGCCUACCAAGGCGACGAUCAGUAGCGGGUCUGAGAGGAUGAUCCGCCACACUGGGACUGAGACACGGCCCAGACUCCUACGGGAGGCAGCAGUGGGGAAUUUUGGACAAUGGGCGCAAGCCUGAUCCAGCCAUGCCGCGUGUCUGAAGAAGGCCUUCGGGUUGUAAAGGACUUUUGUCAGGGAAGAAAAGGCUGUUGCUAAUAUCGACAGCUGAUGACGGUACCUGAAGAAUAAGCACCGGCUAACUACGUGCCAGCAGCCGCGGUAAUACGUAGGGUGCGAGCGUUAAUCGGAAUUACUGGGCGUAAAGCGAGCGCAGACGGUUACUUAAGCAGGAUGUGAAAUCCCCGGGCUCAACCUGGGAACUGCGUUCUGAACUGGGUGACUAGAGUGUGUCAGAGGGAGGUAGAAUUCCACGUGUAGCAGUGAAAUGCGUAGAGAUGUGGAGGAAUACCGAUGGCGAAGGCAGCCUCCUGGGAUAACACUGACGUUCAUGCUCGAAAGCGUGGGUAGCAAACAGGAUUAGAUACCCUGGUAGUCCACGCCCUAAAC